GCUGAACCAUGGCGCCACCAGAGGGCGCGCGAUCCCGCCCCAACCAACUUCCCGCUGAAGUGCCAGAAGCAGCGAGGAGCUUCAACUUCCUCAGGGCAGCACGGGGGUCGUGUUAAUUUGGUGUUCUUCAUUGAUGAUGAUUAUUCCCCACCUUCUAAGAGACAAAGACCAACGAGCCACCACAGCCACCAGUCCCAGAACCCGCCAAUGCUGGGGAACGGAAAAUGAGGGAGUUCAACUCUGGCCCUCACAAUCCAGUGGAGGAGACGAAACUCAUCUGCCUCUGUCCCUCUGGGCACGCCUCGUGCCAGGUGCAUCUGUGGACAGGGGCCAUGCUCCUGGGCUUCCAAAGUUGGAGAAAGCUGCCAGGCUCAGGUCUGAAGGCCAGAAUUCUACAGUAAGUCCUACUGAGUCAAGGUGGGAGCAGGGUCGGUAGCUUCCGAGGCUCUGCGGGAGAAUCCGUUUCCUGGCCGUAGAGGUGGCCUGCACUCCUCAGCUUGUGCUGUCCGUCUCGAAUGACUGGAGUUUCCUGCUUCUGUCACUACACCUCCCACCCUCUCCAUCACCUGCUCUGCUCUUACAAGGAUCCGAAGAAAUGGAAUCAUCGUAUCGCUGAUCUACGUAAACAAACUGAAGAAUUGUCUGAAAGAAAAUAUGACAUGAACUUAUGAAUUCAACAGGUGAAGAUUUACAACUUGAUAAAUCAACUUUGUCAGCUCGAGCUGUAAAAGCCAAAGGUCCGGUGAUGAUCCCAUACCCUUUUUUCCAGUCUCAUGUUGAAGAUUUUUAUGUAGAAGGCCUUCCCAAAGGAAUUUUUUUUUUUUUUUUUUUGAGAUGGAGUUUUCACUCUUAUCGCCCAGGCUGGGGUGCAAUGGCGCAACCUUGCUGGUCACUGCAACCUCUGCCUCCUGGGUUCAAGAAAUUCUCCUGCCUUAGCCUCCCAAGUCACUGGGAUUACAGGUGCCCACCACCAUACCAGGCUAAUUUUUGUAUUUUUAGUGGAGAUGCGGUUUCACCAUGUUGGCCGGGCCAGUCUCGAACUCCUGACGUCAAGUGAUCUUCCCGCCUCGACUCCUGAUAUCAAGUGAUCUUCCCGCCUCGGCCUCCCAGAGUGCUGAGAUUACAGACGUGAACCCAUGCCUGGCCAGGAAUUUUGUUUUUUAGGAAGGCUUUCUACUAAUGGAAUUCCUGGCCUUGAGAGGAUGUUACUUUAGAAGGAAAGGAUUUUUUUGUUAUUAAAAGCUGGACCUACCAUGAAAGACUUCUGAAUCCAGGAAGAGAAACUGACUGGGCAACAUGUUAUUCAGAAACAGGACCUUGCCCUGUCACUCAGGAUGGAGUUCAGUGGUCCUAUCAUGGCUCAUUAUAGCCUCAAACUCCCAGGCUCAAGCAAUCCUACCAUGUCAGCCUUCCCAGUAGCUGGGACUACAG
rnacentral:lncRNA from 1 species